rnacentral:tRNA from 1 species
GGGGAUUUAGCUCAGUGGUAGGGCACUUGCCUAGCGUGCACAAGGCCCUGGGUUCAAUCCCCAGCUCCG